rnacentral:lncRNA from 1 species
ACGGAUCUUCUUUGGUGGAGCUUCAUCUUUGGAGGAGUCUUCCGCCUCAGGUCCGGACUCUAUGUCCAUCUCAAGCUGUAGCUCAGGCUCAGGAUCAUUCUCUAAAUCAUCCUCGGGUUCUUCUUCGGGAUCUUCUUCCUCAAUCAAAGGUUCCUCCUCAGGCUCCUCAUGGAUUACAUCAUCCGACAAAUCAAUCAGGGCAUGGCAAUACCUCUCAAACUCGAACAGGUUUGGUUUGCCUUCUAACAUUUCAUCUCUAACCGUGACUCCCAUAUCUCCCUAUUGAGGUGGGAGGGAGUGUGUGAGGUUAUUUAUGGCCUCGAUAUGCGUGAUCUCCAUUCCAGCAUUAACCGCCAUCAUGCAUCUCUCAUAGAUGUCAUACACAUGUUCGCUAAGCGGUCGGGUCGGAUCAGUUACAUAGUUUUCAUAGGAAUGAUUAGCAAUUCUACGGUUCAAUGCUUCUCUAUAUGCCCUAGCCAUUCUACGAGCCAUAUCUAUUGCAUUUUCACAUACAUCAUACUUUUUUUUUGCUUAAAGAAAACAUGCAAAUAUUUAAACUUUCAUAUCAUGCAAUUCCCUUUAAGCCCUUAGUUUUUGCCCAAGUCCUUUACAUAUCUUUAAAUAACACAUCUCUAAAUCAUAUCAAAACAUCAUAACAUAAACAUAAUCAUUAACUUUAAACAUGAACAUACUAGGGCCAUAGGAUGAGAUUGAUGGAUGGAUGCACGAUACCAUGAAUACCUUAAACUUUUCAUUUUCCUUUUGUUUUUAAAAAAAAAAUACUUGGUCUACAGAAAUGGCUAAACCUUGCUCUGAUACCACGUUGUAACGCCCCGACCCCUAGUAGACCGGAACGUUACUUACUUUACUUAACUUAACCGGUUGUUUAGUAACAAGUGUAUACAUUUUAGCGAAAACUUACAUCUUCGGAUAAUAAUUUAAAUAACUUUACUUCAAAUAGUUUAAACAAAAACACUGAAUCAUUUUUAAAAACAACAAAAUGUAAUUUAUUUGAAGAAAAAAUAACUUGCUCUCGCAUUCUGCGUUAUUCAAAACUUUAAAGAAAUAACAUUGAAAAAAUAUUUCAUAAAAAUAAAUCCAAAUCACUUAUUCACCAGAUUUCCAUGGGCUCGUUGCAUCACUCUCCAUUUCUCCUCCAUCCAUGCCUGAGGUAGAAUUCCUUCAAUCUGUAGAGAUGGGAUUAAA